UGGGCAGUCUGCCCUUCACUCUGGGACAAGCCCUGGAAACGGGGUCUAAUACCGGAUACCACUCCUGCCUGCAUGGGCGGGGGUUGAAAGCUCCGGCGGUGAAGGAUGAGCCCGCGGCCUAUCAGCUAGUUGGUGUGGGUAAUGGCCCACCAAGGCGACGACGGGUAGCCGGCCUGAGAGGGUGACCGGCCACACUGGGACUGAGACACGGCCCAGACUCCUACGGGAGGCAG
rnacentral:rRNA from 1 species